UACGUAGGGUCCAAGCGUUAUCCGGAAUCACUGGGCGUGAAGCGUGCGUAGGUGGAUGUUUAAGUGUAAUGCGAAAUCCUGUGGCUCAACCAUAUGGACUGUAUUGCAUACUGGGCAUCUAGAGGAUGGUAGAGGCAAGUGGAACUGGCAGUGUAGCAGUGAAAUGCGUAGAUAUUGCCAAGAACACCAAUGGCGAAGGCAGCUUGCUGGGCCACACCUGACACUAAGGCACGAAAGCGUGGGGAGCGAACAGG
rnacentral:rRNA from 1 species